rnacentral:lncRNA from 1 species
GGCUGGUGGGGAAUUUCAACUUUAAAUGGUAGGUCGACAUGAUGGCUCGGAGGGCAUUGAGGCCAGGUCGGCCGAGGAUUGAGUUGUAAGCUGACGGCGCCUUCACCACCAGGAAAUUCACCAGAGCCCUGGAUUAUCUUGGAUAUCGGCCCGUAGCUACAGUCAAAGUCACUAUUCCCUCCAUCGGGGAAGUAAUCAGUCUCAAAUGGCCGUCAAGGAUGGACAUUCUCGAAAAGGCAUCGUAGAACAAAAUAUCGGCCGAACUUUCAUUGUCGACAAGAAUGCGGCGGACGUCGUAGUUUGCUAU